rnacentral:rRNA from 1 species
AUUGAACGCUGGCGGCAGGCUUAACACAUGCAAGUCGAGCGGGGUUUUCGGACCUAGCGGCGGACGGGUGAGUAAUGCGUAGGAAGCUACCCGAUAGAGGGGGAUACCAGUUGGAAACGACUGUUAAUACCGCAUAAUGUCUACGGACCAAAGUGUGGGACCUUCGGGCCACAUGCUAUCGGAUGCGCCUACGUGGGAUUAGCUGGUUGGUGGGGUAAUGGCUCACCAAGGCGACGAUCCCUAGCUGGCUUGAGAGGAUGAUCAGUCUGACUGGAGCUGGGACAAGGUCCAGGCUCCUACGGGAGGCAGCAGGGGGGAAUAGUGGAGUAUGGGCGCAAGCCUGAUCCAGCCAUGCCGCGUGUGUGAAGAAGGCCUUCGGGUUGUAAAGCACUUUCAGUAGGGAGGAAGGGUGUUGUGUUAAUAGCACAGCAUUUUGACGUUACCUACAGAAGAAGCACCGGCUAACUCUGUGCCAGCCGCCGCGGUAAGAC